CACAUAAGCCGUUGAGAUCUACAUAAAGACAUCUUCCUUUAGGAAGAAGGCUCUAUUGGAAAUUUUUGAAAAUCAACACACCAUUAUUGACUCUCUGUCUCCUACAUCACUGAAAACCAAGAUGCCAUUUUUCAUGUUGCCGAUUGGUUGGUGCUAGGCUUUUAUAUGCAUUUGGGAAAUUUGAACUCAGGUCGUCAUGCUUACUCAGCAGAUACUUGAUCAACUGAGCCAACUCUUGAACACAGAAGACUAUUUUAAAGGUCUGGGAACCAUUAUGUCUCUAAAACGUCAUCUACUUUUUAUGGAAAAUCAUAUUUAAAGGCCAAAC